rnacentral:rRNA from 1 species
GCUCAACCGAGGAAGUGCUUCGAAAACUGGUAAACUUGAGUGCAGAAGAGGAAAGUGGAACUCCAUGUGUAGCGGUGGAAUGCGUAGAUAUAUGGAAGAACACCAGUGGCGAAGGCGGCUUUCUGGUCUGUAACUGACGCUGAGAUUCGAAAGCAUGGGUAGCAAACAGGAUUAGAUACCCUGGUAGUCCAUGCCGUAAACGAUGAGUGCUAAGUGUUGGAGGGUUUCCGCCCUUCAGUGCUGCAGCUAACGCAUUAAGCACUCCGCCUGGGGAGUACGAUCGCAAGAUUGAAACUCAAAGGAAUUGACGGGGGCCCGCACAAGCGGUGGAGCAUGUGGUUUAAUUCGAAGCAACGCGAAGAACCUUACCAGGUCUUGACACACCAUGAAAAGCUUAGAGAUAAGUCUUUCCCUUCGGGGACAUGGAUACAGGUGGUGCAUGGUUGUCGUCAGCUCGUGUCGUGAGAUGUUGGGUUAAGUCCCGCAACGAGCGCAACCCUUAUUAUCAGUUGCCAGCAUUCAGUUGGGCACUCUGGUGAGACUGCCGGUGAUAAACCGGAGGAAGGUGGGGACGACGUCAAAUCAUCAUGCCCCUUAUGACCUGGGCUACACACGUGCUACAAUGGUCGGUACAACG